rnacentral:rRNA from 1 species
UACGGAGGGUGCAAGCGUUAUCCGGAUUCACUGGGUUUAAAGGGUGCGUAGGUGGGUCUGUAAGUCAGUGGUGAAAUCUCCGUGCUUAACAUGGAAACUGCCAUUGAUACUAUAGGUCUUGAAUUUUCUGGAGGUAAGCGGAAUAUGUCAUGUAGCGGUGAAAUGCUUAGAUAUGACAUAGAACACCAAUUGCGAAGGCAGCUCGCUAAACUUAUAUUGACGCUGAGGCACGAAAGCGUGGGGAUCAAACAGG